rnacentral:rRNA from 1 species
UUCGCAAUGCCCGAAAGGGUGACGAUGCGACGCCGCGUGAGCGAAGAAGGCCCUAGGGUUGUAAAGCUCUGUCGAGGGUUAUGAAAUAUAGAUGGGUUAAUACCCCAUUUAUUUGACAAAAGCCCAAAAGGAAGCCACGGCUAACUCUGUGCCAGCAGCCGCGGUAAUACAGAGGUGGCGAGCGUUGUUCGGUAUUAUUGGGCGUAAAGAGCACGUAGGUGGUUUUGUAAGUCAGGUGUGAAAGCCUUCUGUUCAAAGGAAGAACGGCAUCUGAAACUGCAGAUCUUGAGUGUAGGAGGGGAGAGUGGAGCUUCUGGUGGAGCGGUGAAAUGCGUAGAUAUCAGAAGGAACGUCGGCGGCGAAAGCGACUCUCUGGCCUAUUACUGACACUGAGGUGCGAAAGUUAGGGGAGCAAACGGGAUUAGAUACCCCGGUAGUCCUAACCGUAAACGAUGGGCACUAAGUAGAGGGGUUUU